rnacentral:sRNA from 1 species
UCUACAUUUUUUUUCUUUUCUUGUCCUCUUUUUUUUUUGAGUGGUGUACUUGAGGUUAGUUAAUACUUAGUUAACUAACUACGAGUAACUCUGCCGAUUAUCAUAAAAAAAUAAAACCAAAAUAGAGGAGAAUAAAAUAAGGAAAAAUAAAGUCAUCCAGCUCAAUUUUCUCAACGCGCAACUCAGUGGCUUGACCUGGCUGAAGUGAAGCUGCUUCUGGUGCUUUGGUUGGCGGAGAACAAAGAGGCUGUGGCAGAGGCUGUGGCUGGGCAUCUACAGCACCAAAGUGGGAGUCAUGAGAUGGAGAUAAAAAGUGAUAAUACAUGCGAGUAAUGAUAUGGAUGUCAAACGACAGCAGCGUGGGGUCAAAUUUACUCGAUUCGGGUUGAACUCCGGGCGGGACGGGAUUGAGCAGCGAAGAAUGUCAACACUGGCAAGAGGGUAAGGCUGAGUGAGAGGAUCCAAGAGCGAGCAGGACGGCACAUUAUUUUUCUUCUUACGUUGACUCGGAAAAUAUGCGAGUUACAUCGAGUAACGAUGUUGAGAAGAUCUAGUCUGUUUUGAUAUUUCUUUUAAUAGCACACAAACCUAAUCUGAUCCAGC